rnacentral:rRNA from 1 species
UACGUAGACCUCAAGCAUUAUCCGGAUUUAUUGGGCGUAAAGAGCAUGUAGGAGGUUUCGCGCGUCUUUUGUUAAAGCCCACCGCCUAACGGUGGAGAUGCAGGAGAUACGGCGGAACUAGAGGAGGUUAGAGGCGCAUGGAACUCACGGUGUAGGGGUGAAAUCCGUUGAUAUCGUGGGGAACACCAAAGGCGAAGGCAGUGCACUGGGACCUUCCUGACUCUGAGAUGCGAAAGCGUGGGGAGCAAAAAGGAUUAGAUACCCUUGUAGUCCACGCCCUAAACGAUGCCUGUUUGCUGUUUCGAGUAUCGACCCUCGGAGUGGCGUAGCUAACGCGUUAAACAGGCCGCCUGGGAAGUACGGCCGCAAGGCUAAAACUCAAAGGAAUAGACGGGGACUCGCACAAGCGGUGGAACAUGAGGUUUAAUUCGUCAGUAAGCGAGGAACCUUACCAAGGUUAGAAAUCUAUAAUGACAGCCGGUGGAAACAUUGGCCUUCUCACAAGGACAUUAUGGACAGGUGCUGCAUGGUUGUCGUCAGCUCGUGCUUUGAAGUGUUCCCUUAAGUGGGGUAACGAGCGCAACCCCUAUUACGCGUUACAUGUGUCGCGUGAAACUGCCCCGCCCAAAGAUGAGAAUUAUACGUGCUGUGUAGGCAUGCAUAAUUAUCGUUUUCGGGCGGGGAGGAAGGAGGGGAUGACGUCAAAUCCGCAUGGCCCUUUGAUACCUUGGGCUACACUCGUGUUACAAUGGUCGGGACAAUGGGUUGCCAACGCGUAAGCGGGAGCUAAUCCCAUCAAACCCGGCCCCAGUUCGGAUUGAGGGCUGAAACCUGCCCUCAUGAAGCCGGAAUCGCUAGUAAUCGCAGAUCAGCCACGCUGCGGUGAAUACGUUCUCGAGUCC